ACUGCUCAUGCAACAUUCAGGAUACAGAAUUCAUAUCACACAGAAUCGGGUACAGCAAUGUGAAGAAUCAGUAGGCUACCUUUGCAAAUUCUGCACGUUGGUCGUAGGCUGUGUAAUGCCAUGCCAUCCCUUUCUUGAGCAUCAACUCCUGUGCUUGGAGAUGGAGAAGAAUGAGGAAUUGUAGAGGAAAAAGUGGAACUGAGAAUGGAGUGGGAAUACAAAGCAGCUCAACAAACAUGCAGGGAUAGAAGAAAUUCGACAGACGAUGAGCGUGACUAUUCAUAUGCGAUCAGGACAACACACCGAUAUCCUGCGUCCACAAUGCUUUUGUGCAGUGCAUCUGCACGAAAGUAGUCCCUCUGAUCACGGGCUUCUGAUCUUUCGAGGGCUGAGAUCUGGACUUCUUGUGGGACCAAGCACGAUUCUCUCGGAUCGGAAGUGCUAACGUACACGGUGAUGGUGUCCCCAUCUGCCACAGCUCUUGCAUCCACCUGGUAAAAGUUUACUGAAGUUAUUCAGAAGAUUGUAUGACAGCUGUUUUCGAUGUGAACUUCACUCUGAAUCUAGGGAUCAUUUGUUCGUGGAUUGUACAGUUAAGGAACUCUGGGCUAAUGUUUGUAGAAGAUGUGCUGUGGUUACAUCUGUCCAGAUUUGGGAUAGUGAGUUCAAGUCUGAAUUCUCAAAACUUAAAGGGUACAGUCCUAUCAAAAUAUUCGAGGUAGUUUGGUGUGCCACGAUUUAUCAUACUUAGGCUUCCAGGAAUAGGACGAUACAUGUAGCUGGUUUUGUUCUUUGUAUCAGUGAUAUCUUGUCUAGAAUACAAAAUUGUGUGCUGUGUAGAUUUAAUGAUGUUAAGCUAGCAAAUUCCGUGUUG